rnacentral:rRNA from 1 species
GAGCAGGAUGAAGCGAAAGUAAAAUUUCGUGGAGGUCCGAACCCACGAGCGUUGAAAAGCUCGGGGAUGACUUGUGGGUAGCGGUGAAAUUCCAAUCGAGCCCGGAGAUAGCUGGUUCUCCCCGAAAUAGCUUUAGGGCUAGCCUCAAGGUGAGAGAUACGGAGGUAGAGCACUGAAUGUCCUAGGGGGUAUUGCACCUACCGAAGACUAUUAAACUCCGAAUGCCGUCAUCUUAUACUUGGGAGUCAGACUGUGGGUGAUAAGAUUCAUAGUCGAAAGGGCAACAGCCCAGAUCGUCAGCUAAGGUCCCUAAA